GACGAACGCUGGCGGCGUGCCUAAUACAUGCAAGUUGAGCGCUGAAGGUUGGUACUUGUACCAACUGGAUGAGCAGCGAACGGGUGAGUAACGCGUGGGGAAUCUGCCUUUGAGCGGGGGACAACAUUUGGAAACGAAUGCUAAUACCGCAUAAAAACUUUAAACACAAGUUUUAAGUUUGAAAGAUGCAAUUGCAUCACUCAAAGAUGAUCCCGCGUUGUAUUAGCUAGUUGGUGAGGUAAAGGCUCACCAAGGCGAUGAUACAUAGCCGACCUGAGAGGGUGAUCGGCCACAUUGGGACUGAGACACGGCCCAAACUCCUACGGGAGGCAGCAGUAGGGAAUCUUCGGCAAUGGACGAAAGUCUGACCGAGCAACGCCGCGUGAGCGAAGAAGGUUUUCGGAUCGGAAAACUCUGUUGGUAGAGAAGAACGUUGGUGAGAGUGGAAAGCUCAUCAAGUGACGGUAACUACCCAGAAAGGGACGGCUAACUACGUG
rnacentral:rRNA from 1 species